rnacentral:pre_miRNA from 1 species
CUUGUACUCCCUCCGUUCUGAAUUACUUGUCUUGGAUUUGUCUAGAUACGGAGGUAUCUAGCACUAAAAUGAGUCUAGAUACAUCCGUAUCUAGACAAAUCCAAGACAAGUAAUUCGGAACGGAGGGAGUAUUAU